CACCGCGGUUAUACGAGAGGCCCAAGUUGACAAAAACCGGCGUAAAGCGUGGUUAAUAAAACUUAAACUAAAGCCGAACAUCUUCAAAGCUGUUAUACGCACCCGAAGACAGGAAGACCCCCAACGAAAGUGGCUUUAACCACUAUGAAUCCACGAAAGCUAGGAAA
rnacentral:rRNA from 1 species